rnacentral:ncRNA from 2 species
AAUAAAUGCUAGGGGUACCUUAAAUAAGAGGUUGAGAGGAUAAAUUAUCUAACCCUAUGAACCUGAUUUGGUUAAUACCAACGUAGGGAAGCACUUAAUAUAUCUA